AGAGAUUUAUCUCUGGGGUUGCGGACAGAACAUAACGUGAAAUUAUGAUUAACCGAACACAACUGGAAAGUUGGACCGUAGGAGGUAAUAGUCCUGUAAGUAAAAGUCAUAAUGAUCAGUUCUGCACCAGAGUACCACGAGACACGUGAAACCUUGUGGGAAGCAGGGAGGACCACCUCCCAAGGCUAAAUACUACCUGAUGACCGAUAGUGAAGCAGUACCGUGAGGGAAAGGUGAAAAGAACCCCGGGAGGGGAGUGAAAUAGAACCUGAAACCAUGUGCCUACAACCGAUCAAAGCACCUUAUGUGUGUGAUGAUGUGCUUUUUGUAGAACGAGCCAACGAGUUACGGUAUGUAGCGAGGUUAAGUACUUAAGGUACGGAGCCGAAGGGAAACCGAGUCUUAAUAGGGCGACUAGUUGCAUGCUGUAGACCCGAAACCGGGUGACCUAUCCAUGGCCAGGUUGAAGCGAGGGUAAAACCUCGUGGAGGACCGAACCACGUUGCUGUUGAAAAAGCAUGGGAUGAGCUGUGGAUAGCGGAGAAAUUCCAAUCGAACUCGGAUAUAGCUGGUUCUCCUCGAAAUAGCUUUAGGGCUAGCGUCGUGAAAUGUGAGUACUGGAGGUAGAGCACUGAAUAGGCUAGGGGGCAUAGCGCUUACCGAACCUUAUCAAACUCCGAAUGCCAGAUACUAUCAGCACGGCAGUCAGACUAUGAAAGAUAAGUUCCAUGGUCAAAAGGGAAACAGCCCAGAUCGUCAGCUAAGGUCCCAAAGUGUAAGUUAAGUGGAAAAGGAUGUGGGAUUUCUAAGACAACUAGGAUGUUGGCUUAGAAGCAGCCACUCAUUAAAAGAGUGCGUAAUAGCUCACUAGUCAAGAGAUCCUGCGCCGAAAAUGUCCGGGGCUCAAACUUACCACCGAAGCUACGGGUUCAUACUUUGUAUGAGCGGUAGAGGAGCGUCGUAAUCGGGCUGAAGUCGUACCGUAAGGAGCGGUGGACUGAUUACGAGUGAGAAUGUUGGCAUUAGUAGCGAGAUGUAGGUGAGAAUCCUACAGGCCGAAUAUCUAAGGUUUCCUGAGUAAAGUUUGUCUUCUCAGGGUUAGUCGGGACCUAAGGCGAGGCCGAGAGGCGUAGUCGAUGGACAAUUGGUUGAUAUUCCAAUACCACUAUAAUCGUUAUUAUCGAUGGUGUGACGGAGAAGGAUAGGAUGUGCCAGCUAUUGGAUGCUGGUCUAAGCGUUGAGGGAGUUAGAACAGGCAAAUCCGUUCUAACAAUCCUAGGGCGUGAUGGGGAAGGUUCUACGGAACCGAAGUAUCUGAUUUCAUGCUUCCAAGAAAAGCAUCUAGAAAGAGAAGUAGUGCCCGUACCGCAAACCGACACAGGUAGAUGAGGAGAGAAUCCUAAGGCCGACGGAAGAAUCACAGUUAAGGAACUAGGCAAAUUGACCCCGUAACUUCGGGAGAAGGGGUGCCUACCAUUUGGUAGGCCGCAGAGAAUAGGCACAAGCAACUGUUUAACAAAAACACAGGUCUCUGCUAAAGCGUAAGCUGAUGUAUAGGGGCUGACGCCUGCCCGGUGCUGGAAGGUUAAGGGGAACACUUAGCGCAAGCGAAGGUGUGAACUUAAGCCCCAGUAAACGGCGGCCGUAACUAUAACGGUCCUAAGGUAGCGAAAUUCCUUGUCAGGUAAGUUCUGACCCGCACGAAUGGCGUAAUGACUUGUGCACUGUCUCAACUGUGAAUCCGGCGAAGUUGUAGUGCGAGUGAAGAUGCUCGCUACCCGCGAUUGGACGGAAAGACCCCGUAGAGCUUUACUGUAGCUUAGCAUUGAAUUUCGGUAUUGUCUGUACAGGAUAGGUGGGAGACUGGGAAAUUAGGGCGUCAGCCUUAAUGGAGUCGUUGUUGGGAUACCACCCUGAUAGUAUUGAAGUUCUAACUGGAUGCCAUGAAACUGGUGACAGGACAUUGUUAGGUGGGCAGUUUGACUGGGGCGGUCGCCUCCUAAAAUGUAACGGAGGCGCCCAAAGGUUCCCUCAGAACGGUCGGAAAUCGUUCGUAGAGUGUAAAGGCAUAAGGGAGCCUGACUGCGA
rnacentral:rRNA from 1 species